rnacentral:lncRNA from 1 species
GCAAAGAUGAUGAAUUCAAGACCCACCCAAUGAAUCUGUUAAAUGAGAGGACCCUUAAAGGGACCUUCUUUGGCAACUACAAGCCUCGCACUGAUCUUCCUGGCGUGGUGGAAAAAUAUAUGAAUAAGGUAAAAGCUAAUAUGCAUGUUGGUGGAUCUGCAGCCAUGUACUUGUUACUUGAUGAAUUUUAAGACGUCCUAUAUCGAUUUUUGACGAAGACUUUGUCACAAAAUGAUUUUCAAUCAAGCCUACAUACGGCUGCAUUUAGUUUUAAGGUGUUUCCUUGUGUCAUUGUCACUUGCUAACUUGCAUUUAAACUUCAAUGUUUUUGUUUUUCAGGAGCUGGAAGUGGAGAAAUUUAUCACUCACUCUAUUCCCUUCUCGGAGAUUAAUAAAGCAUUUGAUUACAUGCUGAAAGGAGAGGGUCUGAGGUGCAUUAUUCGCAUGGAGGGUUAGCUAAAGAACUUUAAGAUCCACCUGCUCCAUGGAGGCCUUGGCUUUCGAUAUAGUAGAAAAAUAAUGCAAUGGCUUUUGGUUCUGUUUUUUUAUCAUAUGAAGAGAUAAAAUAUAUAAGUUG